rnacentral:rRNA from 1 species
AGAAAGAAAUUCGAUUCCGUAAGUAGCGGCGAGCGAACGCGGAUUAGCCCAAACCAAUAAAGUUUUCUUUAUUGGGGUUGCGGACAUAUCAUAACGAAGAGGGAUCGUAAUUGAAGAGGUUUGGAAAGACCCACCACAGAAGGUAAUAGUCCUGUAUGUUAAACGAGAAGACUUUAGAUAUGAUCCAGAGUACCACGGGACACGU